CAAUUUGUAAUUUGGAACAAGCAUCAAAAGCAUGAUAGAAUAAUUAUUUUAUCAUAUACCUAAUAGACCAGAUUGUGUGAUCAUUAUGUGCCCUUAUGCAAGACUUCAAUCUAACUUUAAUGAAUCAUAUUUUAUUGAUAACAAAUAAAUCAUAAUCUGAAUUUUGAUAGAAACAACCAUUUAAGAUAAGUUGAUUAAAACUUAGCUAACAUGUCUUAUUGAUAAUUAUCUUAAGCAAAUAGAAUCUAAGCUAAAUUGAUGUUGAAAAUAAGAAAUUGAUUUGAUCUUGAUAAAUCCUUCUAUUGUCUCACAUGCUUGUACUUGAACCAUAUUGGUUAAUGAAACCAUCUCUUUAGUUCAAGUGAUAUGUGCUUGCUUAUACUUAGGGAAUCUCUUGAGUAAAGUGACUCAACAUUCAACUAGUAUCAUAUCUUAUAUCGAGUCAUCUAGUUAAAAAUAUGGUGGAUGAAUGUUUUGUAUCUUGAAGAAACUAAUAACUUUCUUUCAAGGAAGAAAAGGAGCUUGCAGGAUCCUUGAGCAAGAAAAUGAGAGAUUUCAACUUGAAGGAUAUCUCCACGUAAGAUACAAUAAACAUUCUCAUGCAAACAAGAGAGAGGACCUUCUUCAGCCAAAAGUUCAUACAUAAGAAAUCUAGUAGGUAUAUGACUGAAGAAUGCAGAAUGGAUUGGUAAUUCUAGAUACCUCUCUCAUAAAUUAAUUGAGCAAAGUCAAUAACUUAAAUCUUAGUAUGGCAUGGUUAAAAUCUUUAAUUAUUAAUUCCUUGAUAUCAUGUCUAUAUAUAUGUAUUGAUUGACUUAUGCUUUUAGAAAUUGUUUCAUGGUUUGCCCAAACUAAAAUAUAUCUUUGCCUAUGUCAUAACCAUGAACUACACAAGUUUAUGCUUAAAAUUUUUGAUUUAAAAUGACUUGUGAGAAGCUACGAAUUCUUGGGCAUAAUAAAAAUGUUGUUUGCAUGAUAUACCUCUAUAUGAUACAUUUGAAUAUUUCUUUAUUCUGCUCUUUCAUGUAAAUUACUUGAGAAUAACAAAAUGAAAGAGAGAUAAAGAAAAGAAAAUGAACAUUAUUCAAGAGAAGUAAAGAUCUAAGUAAAAGGCAAAUACUUCAAUCUUAAGGAAAAGCAAAACAAGCAUAAUAUAUUUGGCACAUUUGGAAGGAAUAAAAUCCAUAAUUAAUUACACUUAAACAGGGAGAAUUUGAAGUAAACAUUUUAACCUUUCUAUAUUGCUCAUCAUAGGAAUGGUGCCAAUGGGGAGGCUAGUGGUAGUACCCGGCACUAUUUGAUCCAACUAUUCGGUGUAGGGCAUAUUAGGGACGGCACAAGAGGGAGGCUAGUGGUAGUACCUCGUGCCCCUUCCCAACUCCACCGGAUAGGGAGCAAAUAGAGUAUAAAGCAUAAGAAAGUAAAAAUGAAAGACAAAGUUAAUGAAAUUAUAUAAGAAGAAUCAAGUCAAAUUUAUUAAUCACUUGAAAACACACUUUAAGGAUGAAAUCAUUGCAAGAUAAUACUUAAACAGGGGGAGUUUAUUUGAAAA
rnacentral:lncRNA from 1 species